UCUAAUUUUAUAUAUAGCAGUUUAUAGAAGUUUUAAGGUAUAUAAAUAAGUAAGAAGAGAUUAUAAGAGACAAAGGGAAAUAAUGGAGUAAAUUAUAUGGUUUAAGUCUGUAAAUAAAACUAUGAGAAUCGGUUCUCAUUGAAUGGUGUCUCUAAAAGGUGAUGUUUCCUAGGUAAAAAAAUUAAAAAAAUAAAAUUAGGACAUUGACCUCCAAGUGACAAUUGGCUAUGCUUUGACUUUUUUGGUUCUUGAAUUCAAUGCUCUCUUUCAUGGAACCCUCUCUCUCUCUCUCUCUCUCUCUCUACCCCAAACCCAAAGUGAUAAAGUCUCAGUUCUCAAUGCUACAUUUAUAUAUAGCAUUUACCAUCUCAUCUUCUCUUCUCCAUCUUUAUCUCUAGAUUUUAAUUUUCAACAGUCAAAUCCUUGGUUUAACUUCAUGAAAAUGGCAAAGAAACUGAUCACUUUCUUCAUGUUGGUGUCAUUGUUGCUGCUCUCAAGUGGAGAAGCCCCACCAGUGAUAUCCACUACCACCAAGCAACAAUCUAACCCACAAGAUGAAUCAAGCAUCAACGACAAUGAUGGAUGCGCAGGUUUAGGAAGUGAGGACUGUUUGAUCAUCAGGAGGUUCUUGGCUGAUCAUACAGACUAUAUCUAUACUCAAGACAUAACUGCACCCUGAUUUCUGUAAUUUGUUAUUCUGCUUAUAUAUGUAAUAGUUUUAAAAUGUCUUUUAUGGAAGAAAUGGAAACAUAAUAAAAAAAUUGAUUUGGCUGA